ACACGACUAACAUUAGAUACCCCCUGUAGUCCUAGGCGUAAAUGAUGCGAGUUAAGUGUGGGGGCAUCUACGAGAUGGCCCUGUGCUGUAGGGUAGCCGUUAAACUCGCUGCCUGGGGAGUACGGUCGCAAGGCUGAAACUUAAAGGAAUUGGCGGGGGAGCACCACAACGGGUGGAGCUUGCGGUUUAAUUGGAUUCAACGCCGGAAAUCUUACCGGGACCGACAGCAACAUGAAGGCCAGGCUGAAGACUUUGCCGGAUUAGCUG
rnacentral:rRNA from 1 species